UCUUCCUAUCUGUGGACUGGACUCACCUUCGCUAGAGUCUUUGGAACCCUCUGGCUUCUUUGCUUUGCUCUUCUUGUGGGGCGGAGAGAGGCCUUUUGGCUCUAACACCUCUG